CAGCGUAAAUUUCGCCCCAUUAUAUGAAACUAAUUAGGAAUAACAAUCCACAUUCCCAUUCACUCAUAUGUCAAUCCACUCUCUCUUCUCCCUCAAUUCUUCUCUACCGAAACCCUAGCCACCCCAAAUUCGGCUAGAUAAAACGGUUUCUCUGCCAUUUCACGGCGUAAAGACAACGGGAAAUCUACAUUAGUCCGCUGAGCAAACAAUUGUCCGUCGUGUUCUACAGAGGCCGAAAUCGGGUACAGAGAGGGCGCAAAUCGAAUUCGAUGAUAAUGAAGAGUCUGCUUGUUUUGGAUUUCUUUUGGGUUUGUUGUAAUAUGAUGAAAACAGAAAAUAAUGAAUGUUUUGUAACUUAGUUUUAGAAAACAAUGAAUGCUUUUGUAAUGGUUAACUGUUAACUUAGAUUUUGGGAAUGUAAAAGAGUUGUGAUGUACAUUCACAUCUAAAUAGUGUAACAUUUAUAUAUCAAA